rnacentral:rRNA from 1 species
UACGGAGGGUGCAAGCGUUAAUCGGAAUUACUGGGCGUAAAGCGUGCGUAGGCGGUUAUUUAAGUCAGAUGUGAAAGCCCCGGGCUUAACCUGGGAACUGCAUUUGAUACUGGAUGACUCGAGUUGAGUAGAGGAGAGUGGAAUUUCAGGUGUAGCGGUGAAAUGCGUAGAGAUCUGAAGGAACACCAGUGGCGAAGGCGGCUCUCUGGACUCAAACUGACGCUGAGGUACGAAAGCGUGGGUAGCAAACAGGAUUAGAUACCCCCGUAGUCC